rnacentral:rRNA from 1 species
ACGGGAGGCAGCAGUGGGAUACUGCACAUGGCAAGCUGAUGCAGCCAUGCCGCGUGUUGGAGGAAGCUCGGUGUAAGCACUUCAGUCGUGAGAGUAGUGUAGUAUUAGCUGCAUUAUUUGACGUAGCGACAGAGAAGGCACGGCUAACUCCGUGCCAGCAGCCGGCGGUAAUACGGAGGGUGCGAGCGUUAAUCGGAAUUUACUGGGCGUAAAGCGCAUGCAGGUGGUUUGUUAAGUCAGAUGUGAAAGCCCGGGGCUCAACCUCGGAAUAGCAUUUGAAACUGGCAGACUAGAGUACUGUAGAGGGGGGUAGAAUUUCAGGUGUAGCGGUGAAAUGCGUAGAGAUCUGAAGGAAUACCGGUGGCGAAGGCGGCCCCCUGGACAGAUACUGACACUCAGAUGCGAAAGCGUGGGGAGCAAACAGGAUUAGAUACCCUGGUAGUCCACGCCGUAAACGAUGUCUACUUGGAGGUUGUGGCCUUGAGCCGUGGCUUUCGGAGCUAACGCGUUAAGUAGACCGCCUGGGGAGUACGGUCGCAAGAUUAAAACUCAAAUGAAUUGACGGGGGCCCGCACAAGCGGUGGAGCAUGUGGUUUAAUUCGAUGCAACGCGAAGAACCUUACCUACUCUUGACAUCCAGAGAACUUUCCAGAGAUGGAUUGGUGCCUUCGGGAACUCUGAGACAGGUGCUGCAUGGCUGUCGUCAGCUCGUGUUGUGAAAUGUUGGGUUAAGUCCCGCAACGAGCGCAACCCUUAUCCUUGUUUGCCAGCGAGUAAUGUCGGGAACUCCAGGGAGACUGCCGGUGAUAAACCGGAGGAAGGUGGGGACGACGUCAAGUCAUCAUGGCCCUUACGAGUAGGGCUACACACGUGCUACAAUGGCGCAUACAGAGGGCGGCCAACUUGCGAAAGUGAGCGAAUCCCAAAAAGUGCGUCGUAGUCCGGAUUGGAGUCUGCAACUCGACUCCAUGAAGUCGGAAUCGCUAGUAAUCGUGGAUCAGAAUGCCACGGUGAAUACGUUCCCGGGCCUCGUACACAGUGGUAACAACAUACACCGCACUAGAGUUUGAUCCUGGCUCAGGAUAAGUCGUAACAAGGUAAUCCUGCUAGAGUGUACG